UACGAAGGGGGCUAGCGUUGCUCGGAAUCACUGGGCGUAAAGGGUGCGUAGGCGGUUUGUCGCGUCUGCCGUGAAAGUCCGGGGCUCAACUCCGGAUCUGCGGUGGGUACGGGCAGACUAGAGUGAUGUAGGGGAGACUGGAAUUCCUGGUGUAGCGGUGAAAUGCGCAGAUAUCAGGAGGAACACCAGUGGCGAAAGCGGCUUUCUAGUUUAGACCUGACGCUGAGGCGCGAGAGCAAGGGGAGCAAACAGG
rnacentral:rRNA from 1 species